rnacentral:rRNA from 1 species
UCACUUAGUUUCGGGGUGUCAAACUACAGAUCUCUUUGCUUGACUAGUUCUAGCUAAAACAUGAUGCAAAAGGUACAAGGACAUAUCUCUGCUUUUUUAUGCUUUACUGGGUUAUUUCAGUUCUCUUUCAGCUUUCCCUUGCGGUACUUUUUCUAUAGCUUCUAGUUCUUUUUCUAUCGCCUAUACUAAAGAGGAAAAAUGGUUUGUCUGGUAAAUACAGUGCAUUAAGGGGUAUAAAUAAUUUAAGGUUGAACUUAGGUCGUGAGCUAGCUGUUGAGCA